CCUACGGGGGGCAGCAGUGGGGAAUAUUGCGCAAUGGGCGAAAGCCUGACGCAGCGACGCCGCGUGAGUGAAGAAGUAUUUCGGUAUGUAAAGCUCUAUCAGCAGGGAAGAAAAUGACGGUACCUGACGAAGAAGCCCCGGCUAACUACGUGCCAGCAGCCGCGGUAAUACGUAGGGGGCAAGGGUUAUCCGGAUUUACUGGGUGUAAAGGGAGCGUAGGCGGUGCAGCAAGUGUGAUGUGAAAGUUCGGGGCCCAACCCCGGGACUGCAGGGGAAACUGUUGAACUGGAGUACAGGAGAGGUAAGCGGAAGUCCUGGUGUAGCGGUGAAAUGCGUAGAUAUUACGAGGAACACCAGUGGCGAAGGCGGCUUACUGGACUGUAACUGACGUUGAGGCUCGAAAGCGUGGGGAGCAAACAGGAUUAGAUACCCCUGUAGUC
rnacentral:rRNA from 1 species